CACGUAGGGCGCAAGCGUUUGUCCGGAAUUAUUGGGCGUAAAGAGCUCGUAGGCGGUCUGUUGCGUCUGCUGUGAAAACCCGGGGGCUUAACCCCUGGCUUGCAGUGGAUACGGACAGACUAGAGGUAGGUAGGGGAGAAUGGAAUUCCCGGUGUAGCGGUGAAAUGCGCAGAUAUCGGGAGGAACACCGGUGGCUAAGGCGGCUCUCUAGUACGGUACUGACGCUGAGACGCGAAAGCGUGGGGAGCGAACAGG
rnacentral:rRNA from 1 species